AAUUCGUGGCUUGUGUUUGCCGAAUGCGAUGAGAUCACAACAUAUGUAUGUAUUAUCCCUUCUGAUGGCAUU
rnacentral:sRNA from 1 species